GACGAACGCUGGCGGCGUGCUUAACACAUGCAAGUCGAGCGGAAAGGCCCUUCGGGGUACUCGAGCGGCGAACGGGUGAGUAACACGUGAGUAACCUGCCCUCAGCUUUGGGAUAACCCUCGGAAACGGGGCGUAAUACGAACUAUUCUACAUUGGUACGGCGAUCGUUUGGUUGGUGGUAAAGGUUUUUACGGUUCGUGGGG
rnacentral:rRNA from 1 species